GAGAGGUAUUCCAGCCCUCUGACCAUUUUGUGGACGUCUUUGGACCUGCUCUAAGAAGUCCUUUUCUGUCUUCUGCUGGGGGACCCAGAGCUGGACGCGGUAUUCCAGAAUACAGAAGAAUAAAGGUAGAAUAUAUCUCAUGAUACCAAGCUACUGUGUUAUACGCAGACACUGUGGGCUCCAGCACUCAUCUUUCCAGGCUCUAUCAACAAAGUGAUGAAGUCUGGACUAGGGGAGACAAUACUCUCAGUCCCUCCAGCUGCCAUUUUUUUCUUGUAUGGAGCAGGAACAUAUUCUUCACAUAUGAGCAUCUCCAAGGCCAAGCAAGAGUGAGGGAUUGUUCAGGUGCACUUGGUACUAAAAUUUCAGAAAUGAGAUCAUCCUGGUUGUGGUUACAAUGCUGCAGGGACAUCAGGCCCAUCAGCUUUGUGGGCUGGGUUUAGCACGUUGGUGCAGAAGUCUGAGAAAGGGGCGAAUACAGCACAGGGACCCUUGCAGACGUGCCCGAGGCUCACUGAUGAAACACAGCAAAUGAAGCAUUUCCUGAAGAGGCAGGAUGAGUGAUCUUUGUGCACCUUGCUGCUCUCACCUCUGCUACCUGCGCUGCUGAAACAGUAAGUCACGGGACGCGAAGGCGAGUCCUGAGAGCUGUCAAAAGGGGAUUGUUGCCACAGAAACUACGCCUUGCACUCUGCAGGUUCAGAUUACAGAUGGAUUUUAGAAUACAGCUGUUUCCCUAAGAAAGUGCAGUGAUCUGUCACCCAUGACCAGGAACGACAGGACCAUGAGGAGGUUUAACGUACGUCGAGAAAUGAUGUUUUGAGAGAGGAAAUUCCGGUUUAGGAGUUGAGCGUGACGCCUGAAUGUACUCCUCACAGGAUGGAAGGUCAGCAUCAGGAGGGAUGGUAGACCUCCCUGGAUUUCUUCAGCUUAAAGGAGGAAGACUAUAUGAGCAAUGAUUCGAAUAGGAAGCUCAGCCUUAAUGAUUGAAGAGAAAUACCUAUGUGAAGGCACGUUGCUAUUUAUCAUGAAUAUAUAUUUUAUUUUUACUAAGCAGAACUACAGAAAACAAACUUUUCGUCUGUUACUUCAAUGAUUUUUACACUGUACCGAGCAGGUUAUUUGUGCUGCCUCAGGAAUGUCAAGCUGAAACAUGACAGAAGGCGGAUCUCCUAUCUAUUUGAAGGUUGACCACAGAGUUGGUGGGACCCACUAGACCAGAUGCUGGGACAUCACUUGGAUACUCCUUUCCUGGUAGACAUUUCCUUCUGCCGGUCUUGGCGCCCCAUGAAAGGAAGAAUUUUCCAACACGGAUUUUGCUGCUUAGAUUUUUCUCGGUUACAUGCUGGGGAAGGCGGGCUCUUGGCCAGAGAGACUUCUUCCUGUCCUGUUUCAUCUCUCCCAUUCCUGAGGAACGCCAGGAAUAAAACUGAGACAACUCUAUCCAAAUGUGACAUUAGAAGUCUUAAGGAACUGCUACUGGAUGUCAGCAUUCAACACGAAUGAUGUGGCUCCUAAUUACUGCUGUGGGAAAGACUAUUAUUUGGUGAAGUAUCAGGCCUUAUGACGGGAGUGAAAGGGGUCCCCUGAGUGCUCAGGAUGGCAUGGAACACCUAAGACGACCUGCAUGUAAGAAAUUUUGGGACCCAGCAAUAAUGAGCCCUCCAAUCCCAUGGCUCAGAUUUGGCCUCCACUUCCACUGCACCUCCUUCAUUGAACUUCCAAAUCAGGAGCCAGUUCCCUGAUGAACCAUUGAUACAACAUUAUGGAUGUGUGAUAAGUUAAUUGUACAAAGCAAGCAUUAAGUUAAAGCUCUUGGGGGUGAAGAAGGGGAGAUCUGCUUAGUCGUUUAGCUGAGAAUGCCACAUUAAAAAACUAUGGAUAUAACUUGGAGAGGGAGAAGAAACCCAAGACUUUCUAUGAAAAGCCCAGCUGGGGACAGCUUUUCUCUUCGAAGUCUCCUUGAACUAGAAAGAAGUUAGGAAAUUAAUGUUUUUCUCAUUUGGAUAAAGUUUAUGUGUAAAAUGGAUAAGCUUUAUGUGUAAAACUAAAUUGAUCAAAUGUGAAAAGUAUUUAAUCUUUAGGCUUGCUGAAAAAGAAUAAUGGUAUAGCCUCCCUAAUGUGUUAGAACAUUCAUUCUGGUUCCACAACAGACCUAUUCUGGGACAAGUUUCAUUAUUUGCUGCUUUUCUUUAUCUACAACAACAGCAACAGAAAAUGUAGAUUUUGCCUCAUGAGAAUAUAGUUUUUUCCCAGAAACUUUAACAAUAAACACAAAAUAUCAAAAUCCUUCAUAUGGAAAAAUGAUAAAAAAUGACUGCCUGUUUAAUACCUUAGUUUUUCCCUGACAUUAUUUAACAUCUUUGCUAGAAGUUUUCUUAUAGAUCAAACACCUGUAGCUACAUGGAACCUACGGCAGAGAAAUGACAUUUCUGCUGUAAUAAUUUUAAUAAAUUGCAAUUUGCAUAGAUUGUAUUUGAUGCUAGUAUACCACGCAGUAUGUAUGCAAAUACCAGAACCUUCUCUACUCUAUUUGAAAAAGCUUUGCAAACUUGCUAUUUUCUUCCACUUUGGAAUAACUUGGACUGAAUUACUGACCUUCAAGAUUAGAUUAUUUUAUAAAUUGUAAGCAAUAGAAAGUGUAACUUUCUAUUUCUUUUGACAAUAAAUAUUGAAAAAGAGUUUUCCAAUUUUGAUGAUGUAUUCCCAGAAGACAUAUUUUUUAUGGCUUUAAAUGUUAAAGACUGUUUUAUUGCUUGUUCUUAUUUUCUGUAGAGUAUUCCAAAUAUUCUACUCAGUCAUCUCCUAGAUUUGUUUUUUUUUUUCUGAAAUUUUGGUUGGUUUUCACUAACUCUUCUUUCAAUUCACAAAAUAAAUAGCUAAAAGGGCCAGCAGUGUAAUGAUUACUACAGAAAUUUCAACAAACCCUCUCCUUCAUUAACAAAACAAAGAGUUCUGCAGCUUUUUCUGACAACCAAGUUAACAACCUAAUAGAGAACUUUCUUCCUACUCCCUUUUACUUCAAACAGCUGAACAGUAGAAAAACACCUCUGUUUGUAAGUAAGGCCUUAUCCCUCUCAAAGUGUUUCCUUCCUUUAUACUGGUAUAUUUUUUCCCAUUGUAAUAAACAUGGGCUGACACUU